UCGAUUUAGUAGGUAUAGGAAGCGUGAUAAAAUGGCGUACAGUAGGCCUACAGGCAGAAGAAGUCCAGAUUUUGAACGCCCCAACAUGAGGAUUGUUCUUCUGGGGAAGAACGUGUCAGAA